GUGGGGGAUAUUGCGCAAUGGGCGAAAGCCUGACGCAGCGACGCCGCGUGGGUGAUGAAGGCCUUCGGGUCGUAAAGCCCUGUCGAGGGGGAAGAACCGGCAUCGACCUAACACGUCGGUGCCCUGACGGUACCCCUAAAGGAAGCACCGGCUAACUCCGUGCCAGCAGCCGCGGUAAUACGGAGGGUGCGAGCGUUGUUCGGAAUUACUGGGCGUAAAGCGCGUGUAGGCGGCCCGUUAAGUCUGAUGUGAAAGCCCGGGGCUCACCCCCGGAAGUGCAUUGGAAACUGGCAGGCUCGAGUCCCGGAGAGGAGGGUGGAAUUCCUGGUGUAGCGGUGAAAUGCGUAGAUAUCAGGAGGAACACCGGUGGCGAAGGCGGCCCUCUGGACGGUGACUGACGCUGAGACGCGAAAGCGUGGGGAGCAAACAGGAUUAGAUACCCCGGUAGUCC
rnacentral:rRNA from 1 species